AUAUUGCGCAAUGGAGGGAACUCUGACGUAGCGACGCCGCGUGAGCGAUGAAGGUCUUCGGAUCGUAAAGCUCUGUCCUUGGGGAAGAAGGUCUUCGGACUUGACGGUACUUAUGGCGGAAGCCCCGGCUACCUAAGUGCCAGCCGCCGCGGUAAUAGGAAGGGGGCAAGCGUUGUCCGGAAUUAUUGGGCGUAAAGGGUGCGUAGGCGGCCUUUUAAGUCAGAUGUGAAAGCCCACGGCUUAACCGUGGGACUGCAUUUGAAACUGGAGGGCUUGAGUAUCGGAGAGGGUAGUGGAAUUCCCAGUGUAGCGGUGGAAUGCGUAGAUAUUGGGAGGAACACCAGUGGCGAAGGCGACUACCUGGACGAAAACUGACGCUGAGGCACGAAAGCUAGGGGAGCAAACA
rnacentral:rRNA from 1 species